rnacentral:rRNA from 1 species
GACGAACGCUGGCGGCGUGCCUAAUACAUGCAAGUCGAGCGGAUCUUCUCCUUCGGGAGAAGGUUAGCGGCGGACGGGUGAGUAACACGUAGGCAACCUGCCCCUCAGACCGGGAUAACAUGCGGAAACGGAUGCUAACACCGGAUAGGCGAUUCUGUCGCAUGACGGAAUCGGGAAACACGGCGCAAGCUGUGGCUUUGGGAUGGGCCUGCGGCGCAUUAGCUAGUUGGUGGGGUAACGGCUCACCAAGGCGACGAUGCGUAGCCGACCGAGGAGGAGGAACGGCCACACUGGGACUGAGACACGGCCCAGACUCCUACGGGAGGCAGCAGUAGGGAAUCUUCCGCAAUGGGCGCAAGCCUGAUGGAGCAACGCCGCGUGAGUGAGGAAGGCUUUCGGGUCGUAAAGCUCUGUUGCCAGGGAAGAACGCUAAGGAGAGUAACUGCUCUUUAGGUGACGGUACCUGAGAAGAAAGCCCCGGCUAACUACGUGCCAGCAGCCGCCGUAAUAC